rnacentral:lncRNA from 1 species
UGCGAUUUCAAUCAGACCAAGGAGGAGGUCUCAAGCUUCAACCCUAAAACACAAAAAUUCACCAAAUUGAAGGGGCAAAUCAAGCCCAAAUCAAAAUCCAAGCAUAGAUUAGUGAUCACCUCAGUGAAGGGAUCAUGAGGAUAAGGAGCCGAGUCUUCAAGCGGACACGCGCUUGAAAGGAACACUUUGAAGGUGAUGAUGGAUCUAACCCGGAUGGUGAUCAAGAAGUUAUCAAGAACCGAAUGCGCUAAACAAAGCUUCCGCAAUUGAUCUAUUUUGUUUUAAAUAAUAUGAAAACACUUGAAGUCAUGUUUUGUAUGUUUAAAUUAGUUGGGGUAUAACUUGAAUAUUAUGAUCAUGUAUGGUCUUAAAAGCAUGAAAGUUUUUGUAA